AACAAACGCUGGCGGCAUGCCUAUCACAUGCAAGUCGAACGAGACCUUCGGGUCUAGUGGCGCACGGGUGCGUAACGCGUGGGAACCUGCCCUUAGGUUCGGAAUAACUCCCCGAAAGGGGUGCUAAUACCGGAUAAUGUCUUCGGACCAAAGAUUUAUCGCCUUUGGAUGGGCCCGCGUUGGAUUAGCUAGUUGGUAGGGUAAAAGCCUACCAAGGCGACGAUCCAUAGCUGGUCUGAGAGGAUGAUCAGCCACACUGGGACUGAGACACGGCCCAGACUCCUACGGGAGGCAGCAGUGGGGAAUAUUGGACAAUGGGCGAAAGCCUGAUCCAGCAAUGCCGCGUGAGUGAUGAAGGCCUUAGGGUUGUAAAGCUCUUUUACCCGGGAUGAUAAUGACAGUACAGGGAGAAUAAGCUCCGGCUAACUCCGUG
rnacentral:rRNA from 1 species